rnacentral:rRNA from 1 species
UUGAACGCUGGCGGCAGGCCUAACACAUGCCAGUCGAACGGUAACAGGAAACAGCUUGCUGUUUCGCUGACGAGUGGCGGACGGGUGAGUAAUGUCUGGAAACUGCCUGAUGGAGGGGGAUAACUACUGGAAACGGUAGCUAAUACCGCAUAACGUCGCAAGACCAAAGAGGGGGACCUUCGGGCCUCUUGCCAUCGGAUGUGCCCAGAUGGGAUUAGCUAGUAGGUGGGGUAACGGCUCACCUAGGCGACGAUCCCUAGCUGGUCUGAGAGGAUGACCAGCCACACUGGAACUGAGACACGGUCCAGACUCCUACGGGAGGCAGCAGUGGGGAAUAUUGCACAAUGGGCGCAAGCCUGAUGCAGCCAUGCCGCGUGGAUGAAGAAGGCCUUCGGGUUGUAAAGUACUUUCAGCGGGGAGGAAGGGAGUAAAGUUAAGACCUUUACUCAUUGACGUUACCCGCAGAAGAAGCACCGGCGAACUCCGG